AUAUAUAUAUAUCAUUACGUCUUAUCAAAUUCAUAUACCAAGCAUACCCCACGCCUUUACUAUGACCAAAAUUACUUAAACCUUGGAUCAUUAGCAUUAGAUCAAGCCAUUUUCGCAUGGCUAAAUAUAUAUACAAAAACUAAAUUAAAACUAGCCUAUACAUGCCACAUAACCAAAAACUCAAAGCUUUAAUUUACCGAAGCCAUAACCGGAUAGUGUGAUCACGACUCCAACGUCUUCCAACCCGAGCAAGUCUUUAGAACUCUAAAAACAUAAGAAAAACACACAGAGUAAGCUAUUACAGCUUAGUAAGUCAUAAGCAAAUAGAUAACUUAACAACAUUUAAUUAGUUACAACAAAAUCAAAUCAUGUUUUCAAUAUUCAUAUACAUUUCCAUAAUCGAAAAAUACAUUUAUCAAACACGUACUAUACAUCAAAUCCAUAUUUAACCAAAUACAAAUAAGUUUAACAUUUGGCCGAAUAUAUAUAUGUAUAUAUAAUGUCAUUCACAUGUGCAGCUCUCAUUUUUUUUACCUCAUUAUUACAUAUCAAAUUUUGAUCGAAUAUAAACUACAUUAUCAACUCAUUUUUUUUAACCAAAUUAAAUUAUACUAGCAUAAUCACAUUUAACCUCAAGCUUAACGUUUCAUAUAAAACAUGUGUUUUCUUAAGUAAAUCUUAUCUUAACCGAAUGUAUAUGUAUAUAUAUUCAAAGUGUCAAUCAAUUCAAAGAUAUAAUAUCAUUAUAUAUCCGAAAAUAUAUUUACACAUAUACAUAAAAUUUUAAAUCAAAAUAUAACAUCAUAUGCAUAUACAUAACAUAUGGCCGAAUAUACUCCACCAAUGUACAUAUGUUCACAUUAGUAACUUAUAUAAUUUGUAUCACAUACCAACUGGCCAACUUACCUUAUUUUUAAAUAGGUAGUCAACUAACUCAUACCUGAUCGUUUUAGCUCGUUUUACACCUUCGAUCACAACUUAUCAUUGCCCGUUGAACCAUUCGAAAUUUAAUAGGAUACUCAGAUAAUCACAUAUAUCAAACAAUGCCAACGUCCCAGACGUGGUCUUACAUGCUAUCUCAUAUCGAUGCCACUAUCCCAAACAGGGUCUUACACGAAUCAAAUACGAUGCCAAUGUCCUAGACAUGGUCUUACACAUAAACACAAGUCGACGCCGACGUCCCAGACGUGGUCUUACACGAAAACACAUAUCAGAGUCCUAUGUCACGACAUAAGUAUCCUAUCUAUUCCUAGGGUUCGUACGAGGCUUUUAGGAAUUGAUUAUCAAUCGAAUCAAACUCGAAAUAAAAUCCCUAUCUCGAUAAUCACAUUCAGCCAAAGCAUAUAACAAAUAAAAUAAUUUAAUUUAUCACUUAUCAUUUAUAUAUUCUUGAAUUUAACAACAUUUAAAUGCUUAUCGACUUACCUCGGAUAUCGACGGACAUAGUCGACUACUCGACUGCUUUCGA
rnacentral:lncRNA from 1 species